rnacentral:rRNA from 1 species
GUGAGGAAUAUUGCGCAAUGGAGGCAACUCUGACGCAGCCAUGCCGCGUGCAGGAAGAAGGCGCUACGCGUUGUAAACUGCUUUUAACCGGGAAGAAACCCCAGGACGUGUCCUGGGUUGACGGUACCGGAGGAAUAAGCACCGGCUAACUUCGUGCCAGCAGCCGCGGUAAUACGAAGGGUGCAAGCGUUAUCCGGAUUCAUUGGGUUUAAAGGGUGCGUAGGCGGAGCGUUAAGUCAGUGGUGAAAUCCUGCAGCUUAACUGUAGACUUGCCAUUGAUACUGGCGCUCUUGAGUGCACUUGAAGUGGGCGGAAUGUGCCGUGUAGCGGUGAAAUGCUUAGAUAUGGCACAGAACACCAAUUGCGAAGGCAGCUCACUAAGGCGAUACUGACGCUGAGGCACGAAAGCGUGGGGAUCGAACAGGAUUAGAAACCCCAGUAGUCC